UGCUGGUCCUAUUCCUGGUUC
rnacentral:piRNA from 1 species